rnacentral:tRNA from 1 species
UCAUUGGUGGUUCAGUGGUAGAAUUUUCUCCUGUCACAUGGAAGGCUCAGGUUCUAUUCCUCACUAAUGCA